rnacentral:rRNA from 1 species
UGGGGAAUAUUGGGCAAUGGGCGCAAGCCUGACCCAGCAACGCCGCGUGAAGGAAGAAGGCUUUCGGGUUGUAAACUUCUUUUCUCGGGGACGAAGAAAUGACGGUACCCGAGGAAUAAGCCACGGCUAACUACGUGCCAGCAGCCGCGGUAAUACGUAGGUGGCAAGCGUUAUCCGGAUUUAUUGGGUGUAAAGGGCGUGUAGGCGGGAAAGCAAGUCAGAUGUGAAACUCAGGGCUCAACCCUGAGCUGCAUUUGAAACUGUUUUCUUGAGUGCUGGAGAGGCAAUCGGAAUUCCGUGUGUAGCGGUGAAAUGCGUAGAUAUACGGAGGAACACCAGUGGCGAAGGCGGAUUGCUGGACAGUAACUGACGCUGAGGCGCGAAAGCGUGGGGAUCGAACAGGAUUAGAUACC